CAAAGGUUUGGUCCUAACUUUACUGUCAACUAUAACUAAAUUUAUACAUGCAAGUAUCCGCACCCCCGUGAGAAUGCCCUUUCAUUUCUUUUGAUAACAAGGAGCUGGUAUCAGGCACACUACUGUAGCCCACUACACCUUGCUCAGCCACACCCUCAAGGGUACUCAGCAGUGAUUAAUUUUGAAUCAUAAGUGAAAACUUGAAUCAGUUAAAGCUAUAAAGGGUCGGUAAAACUCGUGCCAGCCACCGCGGUUAUACGAGAGACCCAAGCUGACAGAAACCGGCGUAAAGAGUGGUUAGAAAAACAAGACACUAAAGCUGAACACUUUUUUAGCCGUUUAACGCUUAUGAAAACCAGAAACCCUAUUACGAAAGUAGCUUUAACCCCUUGAAUCCACGAAAGCUAUGAAACAAACUGGGAUUAGAUACCCCACUAUGCUUAGCCGUAAACAAUGAUAACUAAUUACACCCACCAUCCGCCCGGGUACUACGAGCAUAAGCUUAAAACCCAAAAGACCUGGCGGUGCUUUAAAACCCCCUAGAGGAGCCUGUUCUAUAACUGAUAACCCCCGUUCAACCUCACCCUCUCUUGCCAUUUACCGUUUAUAUACCGCCGUCGUCAGCCCACCCUGUGAAGGACUUAUAAUGAGCAUAACUGAUAUAACCUCAUACGUCAGGUCGAGGUGUAACAUAUGAGAGGGGAAGAAAUGGGCUACAUUCGUUUAUUAACGAACCACGAAAUGCAUGCUGAAAUCACAUGUUCGAAGGAGGAUUUAGCAGUAAGGAGAGGAUAGAGUACCCUCCUGAAACCGGCUCUAAAGCACGCACACACCGCCCGUCACUCUCCCCUUUUCAAUACUACUGAUAAAUAAGAAAUACCCGAAAAUUUAGGGGAGACAAGUCGUAACAUGGUAAGUGUACCGGAAGGUGCACUUGGAUUAAU
rnacentral:ncRNA from 1 species